ensembl:lncRNA
UUUGUAAUUUUUCAAACAACUUCAACAAAUAAAGUUUUUCUUAAAACAUGGCAUGUAAAUUUAUCUUCUUGGACUGAAAUAUAUGGAGAGCAAAAUAUAUUUUAAAAUUCUUUAAAGGGGUCAUGACAUGGUUUUUUUUAUUUUAUUAUUAUGGUCCCCUAGGUGCAAUUAUAGUAUUACUAUAGUUUUUUUUUUUUUUUUAACUUUUAAAAUGUAGUGAAUUAUGACAUGUUCUCACCCUGUUUCUCAUCCUUUGAUUCAAACAGUCUGUUUUUGGGUUGUUUCCCCUUUAAGAGUUCAGUGUUAACGCCCAUUGUUAUGAUUGGCUAACAACAGUGCCUAUGGAUCAAUUAUUAAAACCCCCAGCCAGAACAUUUGUGGAUUGAGCGUAACUGUUUAGUAGCGGGUGAUGCAUUCGAAGCGAUGGCUCUUGCAAUGAUAAAACCUUAUAUGUUUGAGCACAUCUGCGUGGCAUUGUAGUUUUCCUGUACACAGACCCACUGUAUUUAGAGCUUGAUUAAAUAAAUGGCUCGUUUAUAAUGGGGAGGACGUCUUAAGCUAUGAAACUUGCAGGACGUUUUAAUGGUACAAAGACCUCUUAUAUUCCAAAAGAUCAAGGCAAAUUUGGUUUCUCAUUUCAUGACCCCUUUAAAAAAUAUUUCUAUUUCUUUUAUUUAUUUAUUUAUUUUGGUAAUUAACAAGACUUCUGGGGUUUUAUAGUUGUUCAGUUCUCCUAAUUAGCAGACGCUUCCUUUCAUUUCAAUCUGAAGGUCGUACAGGAUGAACAAAAGGACACUAUUUAUAAGGCUGUUUGCUUUUGUAAGGUCCGAAAGGUCAUUUCAAGAGACCGGUUUUUGGUAAAUCCCAUGCAAACUUCAUUCUGGACAAACAAACCUUCGCCAUUUCUGUCCAGUGUUGUUCUAGCAUGCGGGAACAUCACAUCCUUGAUUACUGCCAGCCAUGUUUCUACGGGGACUAUCAAUCUCCCUGGCAACAGCACUAAUGUGAGUAUGUUUCUGUGUUGCUCCUUGAACAUUGCUUUAGCUGCACACCUCCUACAGCGGCAACACUCCCCUGGCGUCUCUGGCUUUCCUGUGCGAUCAGUGAAACCCAAGAAAAACAAUGCAUUACAAAUAAACAGAAUACAAGUGAUAUAAACAAUUCACUGCAAAAAUAAUGCUUUGUUUUGAUUGCUUGAGGAGGCGUUUUAAACUGUAAAAGGUGAUGCUUUUACUUACAAAUAAUGUUUCUUUACAAAUACAAUGCUCAUUCUUG